rnacentral:rRNA from 1 species
UACGUAGGGGGCAAGCGUUGUCCGGAAUCAUUGGGCGUAAAGCGCGUGUAGGCGGAUCUUUAAGUCAGGGGUGAAAUCCCGGGGCUCAACCUCGGAACUGCCUUUGAUACUGGGGAUCUCGAGUCCGGGAGAGGUGAGUGGAACUGCGAGUGUAGAGGUGAAAUUCGUAGAUAUUCGCAAGAACACCAGUGGCGAAGGCGGCUCACUGGCCCGGAACUGACGCUGAGGUGCGAAAGCGUGGGGAGCAAACAGG